GACGGAGGACCCAAGCGUUAUCCGGAAUUACUGGGCGUAAAGAGUUGCGUAGGUGGUGAUUUAAGCGGUGUGUGAAAUCGUGUGGCUUAACCAUACGGCUAUACACUGAACUGGGUCACUUGAGAGCGAGAGAGGUCACUGGAAUUCCCUGUGUAGGAGUGAAAUCCGUAGAUAUAGGGAGGAACACCGAUGGCGUAGGCAGGUGACUGGCUCGUUUCUGACACUGAGGCACGAAAGCGUGGGGAGCAAACGGG
rnacentral:rRNA from 1 species